GAUGAUGUUUGUGUCAUAUUGUGUGUGUUCAAUUUUUAAAACGCCAAAAUCAUCAAAUUUGCAUAAAUAACAUCACUUCUUGGACUUUUCUACUAGUGCUUGGCAAGCUGAUAAACUUUUAAGUCCGCCCAGCAGGCCUGGCAAAAUUUCCGACUCGGGUAUCAACUCGCCACUUUCUCCUGGAUCGGUUUACAGCGUUUUUUUUUAUCCAGAAGUGAGAUUUAUCAGUUAUCCUUUGUGACCAGUGUUAAAGUCAAGGAACGAGGAAUGAGGCAAAAUCAUCUGGGGAAUGUUGCUAUUGAUGUGUAGACGAGAGGGUUGAGUUCAAUUUCCGAUCGUAUCCUGUAAAGAAGAUUAUAGUUUCGGUCAAGAACACCAAGAUCACUGACACGAUGUCCAAGCGCCAGGGUAAGCAACAACACAUCUACGAACAUCAUUUCGUGGCCAUCUGAACUUAACAAAACGCAUUAUCUGCAAUUAACAGUUAUCCCAAUCAGCUAGAACCGCUUUAAUCAAAUUUAGUGAAAAUGCAUACAUAAAAAUUAGAAUCUAGAUACUUGUCAUUUGUAACAAUAAACCAUUAUUUUAACCAAUAUGUUGAAAAUACGUUGUAAUAAAAUGGUCAAGUAAAAUAAA
rnacentral:lncRNA from 1 species